rnacentral:rRNA from 1 species
UACGUAGGGUGCGAGCGUUAAUCGGAAUUACUGGGCGUAAAGCGCGUGUAGGCGGCUUGGCAAGUCAGUUGUGAAAGCCCGGGGCCCAACCCCGGAACUGCAUCUGAAACUGCCUAGCUAGAGUCCCGGAGAGGAAGGCAGAAUUCCCGGUGUAGGGGUGAAAUCCGUAGAUAUCGGGAGGAAUACCAGCGGCGAAGGCGGCCUUCUGGACGGUGACUGACGCUGAGACGCGAAAGCGUGGGGAGCAAACAGG